UGAGUAACACCGCCGAGGAUCAGCUGCCGUGAAACCCACCAACAGAGCAUGAAGAUGGACCCCCGUCAGCAUCGGAAGAUGGACUGAAACACACCCUAUUGCUUCCUUGAGUGACACAAGGUAUACUCAUAGAUCUUCAUCAGUGACAGUCUACAGUCAGGCCCCCUUCCCUCUACUGUGACAGGAAGUUACAGUGUAUCUACAUGUGUAUGUCCAGGCAUCCAGUAUUCAUUCAUCCAAUACUGUAUGAUGAUGUGGGCAGUGGUCAUACUUUUCCAACUUUGUGAAGAAAAGAAAAAAAAAACAAAAAACAGAACAAUCCAAACAGGGCUGUGGUUUUUACAUGGUAUGUGUGCUGGACCACUGGUUUGCAAAUAUGUCAAACAUCACCUGUCAAUACAUGUUUUGCCAGUGAAAGAAUUUGAGUUUGGGAGGAUGUGGUCAUUAAAUGCAUUUUGAGUCGACGCAAUAAAAAAGUCAUGCAAACUUCACUCUGCAUAAA